AGUCGAGCGGCAGCGCGGGAGCAAUCCUGGCGGCGAGCGGCGGACGGGUGAGUAACGCUUGGGAAUCUGCCUAUCAGUGGGGGACAACCCGGGGAAACUCGGGCUAAUACCGCAUACGUUCUAUGGAAGAAAGCCGGGGACCGCAAGGCCUGGCGCUGAUAGAUGAGCCCAAGUCGGAUUAGCUAGUUGGUAGGGUAACGGCCUACCAAGGCUACGAUCCGUAACUGGUCUGAGAGGACGACCAGUCACACCGGAACUGAGACACGGUCCGGACUCCUACGGGAGGCAGCAGUGGGGAAUAUUGGACAAUGGGCGAAAGCCUGAUCCAGCGACGCCGCGUGGGUGAAGAAGGCCUGCGGGUUGUAAAGCCCUUUCAGUGGGGAAGAAAAGCCUCGACCUAAUACGUCGGGGUCUUGACGUAACCCAUAGAAGAAGCACCGGCUAACUCUGUGCCAGCAGCCGCGGUAAUACAGAGGGUGCGAGCGUUAAUCGGAAUUACUGGGCGUACAGCGCGCGUAGGCGGUUUUGCAAGUCGGGUGUGAAAUCCCCAGGCUCAACCUGGGAACUGCAUUCGAGACUGCAUGGCUAGAGUAUGGGAGAGGGAAGUGGAAUUUCAGGUGUAGCGGUGAAAUGCGUAGAUAUCUGAAGGAACAUCAGUGGCGAAAGCGACUUCCUGGACCAAUACUGACGCUCAUGUGCGAAAGCGUGGGGAGCAAACAGGAUUAGAUACCC
rnacentral:rRNA from 1 species